UUGCUGAGUUGGGCUUUGUUUUGUGGGGUUUUUUUGUGUUGUUUUUUCUUUUUAAUAUGACAAAUGUAAUUUUGAAGUCAAUUUCUUUUAGAUACAUGGCCAUAGCAAUAAACAGUGCUAUGCAGGAAAAGGUUUUUGUUUUGUUUUGUUUUAGUUUAGUUUAGUUUAGCUGUUUUGUUUUGUUUAAAACCACAGAUUAUGCUGUUUCUCAAUCCAUUUCCACUCCCACUCACUGUCCAGGAAUUAUAUACACACAUGACAAACACCUAUUUCAAUAAAAAAGCAAGUAGAGCUAAAUUUUUUUAGAUAAGGCCUUCCAAGGCUCUUUUACCUAAAAAUAGUAGUAACCUGCUAUUAAAAAAAUAAAUAAAUGAAAAAAAUCUCAGCUUCAUUUUCAGAUCCUAGUGUUUGAUACAUAACAUGGGAGCUAUGGGCAGAAAGGAGGAGAAAUCCUGUAUAAUGUGCAAUUUUGAUCUGCAGUCAUUUAGAGACAAUAAAUAUGAAACUCCUAUUUUAUGGAGAUGUAUCUUCAGGGUAGAAAAAAGCUUUAAGAACCACCUCUGAGUGAUAUAACUGAUCACCAUAUCAUGCUAGAUUGAGCUGAAUGUAAGUGCCACACUGGCAGCACUCUGAUUGCAUUGCCUCUGCUCUUACCUAGCUAACAGAUGUCAUUUUAUGUCAGCAGGAGACUUUUCCACAUCCUCUGGCCUAUUCACUAGUUCCGAUUUACAUGUUGCCACUGGACAAGACAGUUCACAAACAUUUGAUGAACAUUCAUUGAUAGACUGACGAAACUCUGAUUUCUCAGUCACUGGAGCUUCAUAUUGAUUCGUCUGGGAACUGGUCAGAUGUGUGACAGCACUGAGAUAUACAAAAAAAUCUAAUAUUCAAAAUAAAAGCAUUAAAAAGCAGAGAAGAAAUGGAAAUUCUGAGUGUCUCCAAGUUCUUGUUUCUAUAUCAAGUUACACUGUACUACCAGAAGAUAAAUAAUUAUUGCUCUUACUGUGUACUGGGAAUAUAAAUUUCAGCAUGUAUUCAGGAGUUAAUAUUAUUUAAAUUUGUUUUAUACUUACAUAAAACGUUUCCAGGGUCAUCUGUCAUUUCUAAGGAUGCAGAUGUAUUUGAUCUCUGUCUCUUCCCUGACAGACUACUGACUACAGUAAUGCUGUUUGUGGAGAUGUUAAACAUCUUCCUGUUCAGUUCAUCCAGUGUCCAGCUGCUCAACUAUUGGCAAAAUCUCACCUAAAUAGCCCCAGACUGCUAUAAUAUCUCCUCCCUGACUGUCAGUUUAUCACAGGAUUGAUUUUACCUGCAGGCAAUUCUCCUCAGUGGCAUUUUGCCACUGAGUGAUCUGUGGAUGGUUAGGUUUCUCUUUGUACGGACCGGAAAGUCUGAGGCUACACCAUCACAGUGAGACACUUCAGCAGAAAACUGUUUAUUCACUGAUUUCAGUUUAUAUGACAUGUGCCAUGAAUUGACUUGCUUUAAUUGUUGGCUGUGGAUGUGGGACAGAUUUACCCUUGUUACAUGGCAAUCCUUACCAAAUUCAUUUAACUGCCAGGAUUUUAAGACAGAUAAAUUAAAAAAACCCACAACUAUUCCUUUUCCAGUUUCCUCUGAAGCACUUGUCGUAUUGCCACUUUCUUGUUUUUUUUUUUUUUUUUUUUUUCACUUGCUUCCUAAUGGUUGGGUAUUCAGGGACCCUCUGAACCUUUCAGUCUGGCAUGGAAUCCUUUUCUCCUUGACCCACGUACAGCUCAUUCUCAAAGGGCUGUAUUCAACAGUUCCUUUUUUUUUUUUCUUCCUCUGCUUUCUAAAUAUUUUGACCCCUUCUUAUCUUCUUGGAUGCUUUUGCAUUGAAUACAACUAUGAAUAAUUAAUUAAACACUAAUAACAAAUCAUUUAUGCUUUGAAUUUUUUUACACAGGUAUUAAAAGGCCUAGAAAAGUCAUGGUUGUUGCAACAUCUCCUCCAUCCUCCUUCUCCUGCCAUGGAACUCUUCAAAGCAUAAACACAAAACUUUGGACUCUCAGGCAGAAGAAAAUUUGACUGCACUCAGGUUGAGUUGUUACAUGAAAGAGUGUUCAGACUGUUCACUUCAGAAUCUUGCCUCACUAUUGCUACUCCAACGUAUCCAAAAAUUGAAAGCCUGCUGCCACACACUGCCUGGGUGAUUGGAGAAGAGAAAAGCUACGCAACCAAGGUUUGCCAUUGCUGUGUCUGCUUGUAGAAGAACAAUUUGCAGCAGUGAACUCCUCAUGGUUUCUUCCUCUCUGUUCAAUCCACAGCACCAUUAACCAAAACUUUAGAUGGGUUAUCAGAGAAAAGAUUCCUCCCUCUGAGGGUGGUAAGGCCCUGGCACAGAUUGCCCGGAGAAGCCGUGGCUGCCCCAUCCCUGGAAAUGUCCAAAGCCAGAUUGGAUAGUGCUUGGAGCAAACUUUGGGAUAGUGGAAGGUGUAUAAUCUACAUUACAAAAUAUUAAUUUUGAAAUAAUUUUGAAAUCACACACGUAGGUAUUAGCUUGCACACAAACACACACACCUACACACUGGCAUACAAUAAGUUCAUUUUGAAGAAGUAAGAGAACCUUUAGCUUGGGAUGUGUUUAUCCAAAUACCGGCUGAGCUACAUGUGACAAGCUUUACAUUCUGUAUGUAAAAGUACAUGCUUCUAUCAGUUCAAGCUGCAGAAAGCAAAGAUAAAAAACUUUAAAAGCAUGAAUUACGAUGUGCUUUUAAUUGCCAAGGGAAAUACAGGCAGACAUGGAUUUCUGGAGGCUACACACUUUCCUCUGGCUUGUUCAAGCAUGCAAACAAAUAUAUGAUUUUUUUUUGGUUUGGGGAUUUUUUUAAAGAUGUAAAGGAAUAAAAAGCUAAGGUGGAUGCCCCUUGCCAAAACCACAGCAGACGUAAGAAGUAGAAGGACAAUUUCAAAGCAGUGUGCAAGUCUAUCAGCACGAAGCUUGUCUCAGUCUCCACACACCACUUUGAAAGAUUUCCCAGAGGUUUCUGUCUGGUAUUUUCUUAUUCCUAUAAAAGUGCUAAAUGAAAGAAAUGAAAGAAAAAAAAAUAAAGUCUGAAAGUAAAUGCUCUGUGCAAAAUGAGACAAUGAGCAAAGUAUCUCUGGCUGGAUAAACAGAGUUUUGGUGUGGGAAAGAGAAAAAUGAUUAUUUGGUGAAUAUUUUGUUCUUUGAGAAAACAUUUUUCAAGUGUUCAGCUUUGUCCAGAGGCAAAUAAUACCUUUGAGUAACAAACACUUUGACAUUUGGCUGCAGUGAGUGGCUAUAAACUCUUCAGAAGAGACAGGCAAGGAAGGAGAGGUGGUGGGGUGUCUCUUAAUGUUAGGGAGUAUUUUAAUACCUGGAGUUUAAUGAUGAUGAGGGUAGGGUUGAGUGUUUUUUGGUAAAGAUUAGGGGAAAGGCCAGCAAGGCAGAUAUUCUGGUGGAAAUGUGUUACAGACAACCCAGCCAGGAUGGAGAAGCACAAGAAAUAUUCUAUAAGCAGUUGGUAGAAGUGUUACAAUUGCUGGUUCCUGUUCGUGUGGGGCACUUCAACUUAGCAUGUGUCUACUGAAAAUACAAUGCAGGGACUUACUCUGGAUAUUGCCUUUAAAGACAAUAAAAACUGUUUGUAUAAAGACAUUAGCAACAAAAGGAGGGUUCAGGAAGGUCUCCAUCCUUUAUUUGAUCUAGGGGGGGAUUGUCACCAAGGAUGAGGAAAAGGCUGAGGUACUUAAUGCCUUCUCUGUCUCAGUCUUUAAUAAGAGGACCGGUUUUUCUUCUGAGCUGGAAGACAGGGAUGCAGAGCAGAAUGAAGCCCUUAUAACACAAGAGAAAAUGGUCAGUGACCUGCUACACCAAUUAGACAGAGAGGAAGCAGUCUCAAGUUGCACAGGGGAAGUUUAGGUUGUUAUCAUGAAAAAUUUCUUCAAUGAAAAAGUUGUCCAUCCUUGGAACAGCUGCCCAGGGAGGUGGUGGAAUCCCUGUCCCUGGAUGGAUUUAAAAGCCAUGUGAAUGUGGCACCUAGGGACAUGGGUUAGUGGUGAACAUGACAGUAUUGGGAGAAUGACUGGACUUAAUGAGUUUAGAGACAAUUUCCAACUUAAACAAUUCUACGAUUCUAUGGCUAGCUGAAUAAAGUUGGACCUAGUCUGUUGUUAAAAGCUGCUUCAGAGGACCCUGAUUUCUAUAGACAUGGGGCAAUUUUGAAUGAAUAAAGAGGGAUAAGAGGGAUUUUCCUCUCAUAACUGCUAAAAACAACCUUUGAAGACACCGAUAUGAACAAGCUCAAGGACUUCAAGGAGACCUACCAAUGCUGUGGAUGGCUUCCCUAUUUCAUGCUUGACUUUCCAUUCUGUCAGUCAUCAACACAGAAAUAGCUCAGCAACAGAAAUGUUAUUAGGUAAGGUGGUAUAGAAUGACAAUAAUAUUUUGGAAAGGUAUAUAAUUAGUUCCACUUCUGCAAAGAAGCAGGACCUUGACCAAAUGCUGCCUGAAUCAACAUUUACUUUGCUUUCUGCAAAAUAAAAAAAAAAAAGGCAGGAAAAAGGCAGGAAAACCCUUAGGUUUAGUUUUAGAGGUAAGUUACUAACUGCAGUAUAAUAUUCAUGCUCUAAAUACAGAAAGAGGAGUAAAACUGCAGGAUGAAUUUGGUCCUACUUAAAUGGGUGAAAAUUAUUGUUUUUGUAGCUCUACAUCAUCUUAAAUUUAACCAUGAAAUACUUUUAUGCAACAAGCAACAGUUUUACAACUGUUUUGUAAUUAUCUUAUUUAAAACUCCCAUUUUUGUCCUAUUACCCACUCACAGGUGAAACUCUGUGAGACUAUUCAAAAAAAUGACGCUAUGAUAUGACAGAUUCAUGACAUGAAUAUGGCUCUUCAGUAGAGAUUUAUAUACCUGAAAUCUGUAGGAUUCUAUGAGAAUGUUCUCUAUAUUUGACAGUCACAGAGAAAACCUUACUAAAAAAUGGAGAAAAAGAAUCAAAAUAAACCAAACCUGCUCUGGUUUUAGACAUUUUCUUCUGAUCUUGCUUAUCUUGAUAAUUUACAUUCUUGCAUAUUUGAGUUGUAAGUUCUGAGGAUAACCCAGCAAUUAUUUUUCUAAAAUCCUUUUUAAAUUUUAUUUAAUUGUCUCAAUUUAAUGCAUAAGUUCAGACUUCAGUGAAAAGCUGUGCAAGAUUGUAUUAAAAUAUUCAAAAUUCCCUUUAAACAAUAUCUUUAAGGUCUUAACCUCAUAAAAGUGUGUAAAACAAUGCGGUAAUCUCAAACUGAAGUUUUUAAAUGUAGGUCACCCCUAUUUUCAGUAGUCCUCAUUAGUCAAAACUGGGAAUAAUAAAACCCCAAUUCACUGUAGUGAGUAUUGGUUUUUUAUAAAGUUAUGUCUAUCAGAAGAAGAAAUAAUUCAGUGUGGAUAUUCUCCAGUUGCUUCAAGAAAGCUGAAAGAGGUAUUUUAAUGACUGUAUUCCUUGAUGCCUUCGAAUUUUUAGGAUUUUUAGCUUUUUGUAGAUUUUAAUAUAGCUGUAUAAUCUGUCACGUUUUAUAGUUGUAGUUAACACUCACCAAACCCUAUUUCCCUAUUUCAUAUUGAAUUUUUGAAAUUCUUUAGGCUUAGUUAGGUUCCUUUCAAGACAGAACUAUAGCAAAUACAACUUGUUUAAGAACAUUUGCACCCCAGACCUGAACAACAAGAUACUAUCACAGUCAAAGCAACCUUCAAGCCCGAAACCUUGGAGAAGAUCCAAAGGCUGUAAGUGCUGUGAAUAAGAGGAAGAUGAAGAAUAAAGGGGUCUUAGGACCUUUGACUAAGUUUCUGGGGAGGUGUGCCCAGGGGGCAGACCUGAGGGUGGGUGGUUCUCAGAUCAGACCAUAAAUAGUGGAACCCGUGGACACGGGCGCAUGCUUUUUUCGUACCCCUCAUGCCAGAGGACCUUCAUUAAUGACCUACUCUAUCAUCUUAUCUCUACUAAAUUUACCUGGAGUUUUUUCUGCUCCUGAUCUUUUAAGGCAACUCCUUUUGCUGUUAUAAUCAUGUCAUUUCACUGCAAUUAUUUUGGUAUUCUAAGAAUUCAUUAAAAACACUCUAGUUGUACUUAUUUCAAUAGUAAACGACCAUAAAAUAAUGUGUAAUAUAUCACAUUACAAUUUUAAUGUAAGUAGUAGGAUAUAUAUAACAGCUUUCAUAUGCAUUUUUAUGAAUUUAUCACAUUAAUUUAGAAUACUAGCUUAUCUCUUUAUGCAAAAAUAGAGAGAUCUGUCUGUGGUCAUACAACUUAGUUGCCAUGUUUUAUAAUUUAACAGCUUUUCAGUCUUCUCAAAACUAUUCAAAGAAGAAUGACAGAGCAGUCCACAGCUGAGCAAUGAGGCACAAUUCUGUUAAUUUACUCAUUCAAGAAAACUCACCUUACAUGAACAGUGACAUUUGAAUGAAUUGCAGUGCUUUUUAUGUUAACAAGGAUCAGGAACCUGAACAAAUGUAAUAAAACUGAACCUACACGAGGGCUGUAAAACUACACUUACAUGCACCUGUUGUCAAAAUCACUUUAUCUAGAAGGUUGAACAUGGACUAUGAAAGAAAAAGUGUUUUAUUUUCUGAAAACAAAAGCAUUAAACCAGAACUAUUGUGAAGGAUCUUUAUGUUGUGUUUCAGACUCUUUAUAUUCCAUAAAUUGAAUAAAAAAUGGUUUGGUCAGGGAGGGACAUUUA